CGAGAUCGUAAGCCUGUAGUUUAAUUGAUUGAUUGAUUGGUUGAUCGAUUGAAAUUUUGAUUUUUGUCCUAGAUGCAUGUUCGCGUUCGUUAAUUAAUUGAUUAACUUGGUACGUUUGCUGAUUGCAUGAAUGAUAUAUUGCUUGCUAGAUUGACAGUUCCAUAGCAUAUUUCAUAUUGAUUAAUGGAUUUCUUGAUUGUGACUGUGAUGUCCAGUGACAAAUAUUAAACGCACAUUCUUUUCAACAGAAGAAUACAUAUUCCCUACUCCAAAUAAAGGGGCAUUCUGGGAACUUCUCAUUUUCC
rnacentral:lncRNA from 1 species